CGGUCGGAUUUCCAUUUGGAAAAACCGUCGCGCCUGUACAUCCGAGCGAAAUGUAUAGCGGAAAAGUCGUCCGAAACAAACCGCCGUGAAACCAACGCAUUCAUCUCGGGAUUCAAAAUGCGUAUGUUUUACUCGCGUAUCCUAUUAUAAGUACGCGGGAGAGACGCGGGACCGGUUUUUGCCGGUUUACCGCGGUCACUCGUUCGAUUUCCGCCUGU